GACGAACGCUGGCGGCGUGCCUAAUACAUGCAAGUCGAACGCUUGGUAAGGAGCUUGCUUCUUUACGAGGAGUGGCGAACGGGUGAGUAAUACAUAAGCAAUCUGCCCAUCGGCCUGGGAUAACAGUUGGAAACGGCUGCUAAUACCGGAUAGGUUAGUUUCUGGCAUCAGGGACUAAUUAAAGUUGGGAUACGACACGGAUGGAUGAGCUUAUGGCGUAUUAGCUAGUAGGUGAGGUAACGGCCCACCAAGGCGACGAUCGGUAGGGGUUCUGAGAGGAAGGUCCCCCACAUUGGAACUGAGACACGGUCCAA
rnacentral:rRNA from 1 species